CAAUUAGGAAAUUUACUAAAUGUCAAACUGGUAAUUAGUAAAUUUUACUACUACCAAAUUUUUGGUAAUUGUCAAAUUCGCUAAGUUUCUAAAUUUGUCCCAAGGAAAUUUCCCACACUUAAAUUUCUAAAUACGAAAAAUCCAAAGGGAAGAAUUUUUUCCCCAUUUAAAGCGGUGGGUUAUAAAAAUUUGUAACCGUGAGGAAAAUAGUCUUUCGUAAUUUCUGAACGCCGCCGGUAAAUUCCUUUAUCCUUUUACCAGGACGUGAUGAUUUUUGCAAGCGUAGCCGGCCAACAUCAGCUUCACGAAUUUCUGGAUUUUUAAAGCGGCACAGAUUUCGCGUGGACCGCGCGAACGGAUUAAGCGGAUUACGACGCAGUUGCUCGCAAAGCGUUUCGAGGGAACGAGUUCUUAAAAAAUUCAACCAUCAUGUCCCUCGAACUUUAAAUCGCAUUCACGUGAUGCUUCUCUCCCUUCAAUUUCGCGUUCAACUCUCGGACCAUCAGGAUAUUUGUCACGAGAGAGAUGAAAAUUGGAUUAUUAAUAAAUAUCUUUUCCUAAAGAAUGUCAAACUUUAAAUCUACCAAAAGAUAUUAAAUUUCAAAAUUUCAGGUUCAAAUGGGUUUCAUCCGAUUGCCAUUGAAGUUUGGAUCUCUACCAUCCCUUUGCCAGCGAUCAAUCUAUUUAGUAUGAUUUUCGGCUUUCAUCGUCCAACAGUCUUGUUGAAAAACGAACCAGUUACUAUUCAGCGAGAUUUUACUGCAACGAAUCGAAUAUCACACUAUUCAAUUGAGGUCGCGAUUGGAAUAAUUACAGCAUGGUUUGUUGGACAAGAUGGUGCUCCUAGCGUUUUGCUGACAUUUACACAGACGGCACUGACAAUUUUGGCACACGGAUUCUGCGAAUAUCCUUUUGAUAAAAUCUCCAUCCACGAACAUUUACAGAUUUGAUUACUUGGAAGAAUGGGCAGCUUUCCAUGCAGAAACAGUCGGUUUUAUGCCACGAAUAUUUUCCAUGGUAUCUAAAUCCGAGAAUAGCCGCUCGACAAAAGCUCACCUGCGAUUACUAUCAAUACUGAACUCGUACAAUGGAGGAAUCGUGAAAGGAUAAAAGCGCGGUAGGGGAACUCGAGGAAAAGUACAAUGCAUAGUAU